rnacentral:rRNA from 2 species
CGCGAAAACUUCACACUGCAGGAAACUGUGAUGAGGGAACUCCAAGUGCGCGCACUUAGUGUGCGCUUUUGUUGACUAUUAAUCGGUCAAUGAAUAAGGGCUGGGAAAGACCGGUGCCAGCCGCCGCGGUAAUACCGGCAGCUCAAGUGGUCGUCGCUUUUAUUGGGCCUAAAACGUCCGUAGCCUGUUUGGUAAAUCUGUGGGUAAAUCAACCAGCUUAACUGGUUGAAUUCUGCAGAGACUGCCAGACUAGGGACCGGGAGAGGUGUGGGGUACUCUAGGGGUAGGGGUAAAAUCCUGUCAUCCUUAGAGGACCACCAGUUGCGAAGGCGCCACACUGGAACGGAUUCGACGGUCAGGGACGAAGCCUAGGGGCACGAACCGGAUUAGAUACCCGGGUAGUCCUAGGUGUAAACGCUGUGAACUUGGUGUC